UUAUUUGAAUCGAUAUCUUCGCUUGUACGCAAUGAUUUUUGAAAUGGGGUCUCCAGCGACCCCGGUGUGACACCAGUGUAAGGACUAAUAUU